CCUACGGGUGGCAGCAGUGAGGAAUAUUGGUCAAUGGACGAGAGUCUGAACCAGCCAAGUAGCGUGAAGGAUGACUGCCCUAUGGGUUGUAAACUUCUUUUAUAUGGGAAUAAAACGUUCCACGUGUGGGAUUUUGUAUGUACCAUAUGAAUAAGGAUCGGCUAACUCCGUGCCAGCAGCCGCGGUAAUACGGAGGAUCCGAGCGUUAUCCGGAUUUAUUGGGUUUAAAGGGUGCGUAGGUGGAUUGUUAAGUCAGUUGUGAAAGUUUGCGGCUCAACCGUAAAAUUGCAGUUGAUACUGGCAGUCUUGAGUACAGUAGAGGUGGGCGGAAUUCGUGGUGUAGCGGUGAAAUGCUUAGAUAUCACGAAGAACUCCGAUUGCGAAGGCAGUUCACUGGACUGCAACUGACACUGAGGCUCGAAAGUGUUGGUAUCAAACAGGAUUAGAUACCCUAGUAGUC
rnacentral:rRNA from 1 species